CAGGUAUACCACAUUCCCCCACAGGACAAACCAUCAUAGAAAGAGCACACCAAACAUUGAAAGCACUUUUGCAAAAACAAAAAGGGGGAGAGGUCUUGGCUCCAGCAGAAUCACUUCCAAAA